UACGGAGGAUGCGAGCGUUAUCCGGAUUUAUUGGGUUUAAAGGGUGCGCAGGCGGUCUGUUAAGUCAGCGGUCAAAGCCCGGGGCUCAACCCCGGCCCGCCGUUGAAACUGGCUGGCUUGAGUUGGGGAAAGGCAGGCGGAAUGCGCGGUGUAGCGGUGAAAUGCGUAGAUAUCAGGAGGAACACCGGCGGCGAAGGCGGCUUACUGGACUGUAACUGACGUUGAGGCUCGAAGGCGUGGGGAGCAAACAGG
rnacentral:rRNA from 1 species